rnacentral:lncRNA from 10 species
AGACAGUUGGGCCAUUUUCAACUCAAGGCAUCUGAGUUCCUCCUCAUCAAGGCAAAUAUGGAGGGCAGGCAGAGAAGUUUUCUUGUAUCUGCAUCUGCUUCUGAUACGGACAGGGGACAGGGAAAAUACUGGUUAGAAGAGGGUGGAUCCCUGGCAAAGACCUCACCUUCAAGCCUGAAGACCUGCGGCCCUAAAUGAGGACAGGCAUUCCUGUUUUCAAGACAAAGAGGUUGCCUUUUGUCCCUCCACACCCUCUAUCCUGCCCCCACGUAAACCGCAAACCCCAAGCUCCACAGCAGAGCAGCAGGUGAGUAGAGGAGGAUACCAGCAGAUGGACGGUGGAACAGCACAGCAGGGAAAGAGAGAAGAGGAGAGACGUCUGGAUGCCAAGAGGAGUUCAGCUGGGGGCGGUAGGAAAGGAGUCCAGCCGCUGGGCGGCCUGACUCCAGGGGAAGAUCACCUUCCCAUUCCAUCCACCCACCGUCUGGCUCUCCAUCCAUCCCUCUGAAAGCCACCUCCACCACUCAAUAAAACCUCGCA